rnacentral:rRNA from 1 species
UGCGCAGGUGGGGGUGUAAGUCAGUGGUGAAAUCCAACAGCUUAACUGUUGAACUGCCCUUGAUACUGUUAGUCUUGAAUUAUAUGGAAGUAGAUAGAAUGUGUAGUGUAGCGGUGAAAUGCUUAGAGAUUACACAGAAUACCGAUUGCGAAGGCAGUCUACUACGUAUAUAUUGACGCUAAUGGACGAAAGCGUGGGGAGCGAACAGGAUUAGAUACCCUGGUAGUCC